UCAUGAGGUACCAAGAGUAUUUGGAGGAGCCGGUUUCUAAUAGUGAGGCCUGUAACUCAAACCCUUAUAACAAUAUGCCAUGUUUUAAUAUAGAAUUGUGCAAGCCUUCUUGUAUUUAUGCCUGAAGGUCUGCGACAUUUCAUUUCUUUUAGUUAAUAAAGUCUGUAAGUGGUGCAACUUACAGCAGUGUGCAAGGCAGCCCCUCCUUCUUCAUUUUACCUAUUUUUGGUCCCAUCCACCUGCAAUAAAGAUGACUCAGAUGUGCACAAAUUGUUCUUUUGCUUUAUUCUGCUGAGGCCUGUGCAUAAGAUGAAAGUAUAAACAAGGACAGAGCUCUGUUUUUACAGUCAUCCCCAAAUGAAAUGCCUGUUAUCUUGAAAUGCAUUUCAAACAGUCCCUAAUCUGAAGCAUGAAGUCGUUUCCUUGGUUACUAAGAGAGAGAAUCCUCUGUGGCCGCCGCGGGUCUGUUUGUCUUCAUGCUGGCCUCGUGGCACAUCAUUAGCACGUUUGCCUUUGCGAUCAUGGGGUUUUGUGUUCAAAUCAUGUUGAGGUCACGUCUUUGAUCAGAGUGGGUUUGUGAUUAGGAGGUCUGUCCUUCAGCCAGUACACCGUGUCCAGUAGCUGCCUUGCUGAAGUGCCCUUGAGCAAGACACUGACUCCUUAUCAGCCCCAAGGCUGCUGCUCUGUGACCAUGUGACUCCUUUCUGUAGGAGGGUGGGCGAGCUGAAAGAUGAGUCUCUCCUUCAGAGAAAUUGUUGAUCUACAAAGAUCAGUCGCAUGUACAAAAAAUUGUUAUAAGUUUUGAAAUUUGUAAUAUAGCUCAUAUUAGCAUUAUAAGCAUUAUAGGUUGAAUAUAUCCUUUACUUUCAACCAGUCAAUUUGCUGAGGGCUGACACCUAAAAGCAUGUGAAAGAAAAGAUGUACAAUGAGCCCUUUUGCAAAACCAAAACACCCCAAAGUAUUAAUUUUAGAAUGACAAUAAAAAUAAAGAUAGCAAAUCUUAGUGAUCCUCGUACAGCUGUAAUCAGCAAAUAUUUGGGAUUUUUACUUGAUAAAUAACUAAAACAGUUAUUGCAAUUAUAAUUUAUGCAUUUUUCUGUCAGUCUACUAAUUGACUAAUUGUUUUAGGACUAAAACAUAAGUAAAUAAGCCACAGCAUUCUGUACAUCUCCAGUUUCAUGUUCUGUGGAGGCUGCGACUGCAAAUUGCACUUUGGAAACUAAUAACUAAUAAGCAUUGGAGCGUGCCAUCAGCAGAGCAAAGCCACCUUAAUUGCUCUGUCUGGCUACUCUGAGGCCAUUUAUCAGGACUGGAAGUGGAGCCCUUGUCCUGGACCAGACCUGCUUUUUACACGGCAGGUGCCUGUCUGCCAUCAAACAUGAUCAGUCUGUACAGCCUCUAUACCUCACUGGUGAAUGAUGAGCAUCCCGGGCCUUGGAGGGCUUGUUUAAGGCCAUGUAACAUGCAUCACACAGGAUGUCACACACUCUCCUGCGACAUCCCAUCUGCUUCUGCAGCUCGUCAAUCCUGGCAUCACACCAACACGUCUUUGAUCUUCCGUGUCCUCCAUGUUGUCGUAGGCAGAUAUUGCUGUGACCAGCUCAGAGUGGCUAACAGUGAUGAAGGUCAGCAUAGUUUUCAGGGCAUCCAGCGUCUCAUCUGCUUCCAAAACAUUGAGUGUUUGUGACAACCUGUGCAGAUGAGCUCUCAGCCAGGAGGGACCCUCAGUAGAGACAUCAUCAAUCUCACAUCAGUGUGUUUCUUGGCUUGAUUGCAAUGAAAGCAAUAAAGCUUCUCUUCCUUUUAGAUAUACUCUCAGACACUCUUAUACUGUUUUCAGUUCGUGAUGUUAGGGUUAGGGUUAGUGCAUUCUACAAAGUAUUUUGCAACCAAGUGUGGUAAUUUUCUUUGAUGUGUUAACUUCCCCUCAGAAUUCAGCCGCGGCAUUGCAUCAUGGUCUGUUGAGGCUGCUGUCAUUGGGGGAAUCGGUGUCUCUUCUUGUGUGAUGAGUUUCGUCCUGUAUGACUGUUGAAAAUUAAUGUAAAAUGGACUAGAGAGGAGAGGUUGCUAUUUGAUUCCAGGGGCCUAGGGAUUUUAAUUGUGAUAUUUUGGAUAAGUGAUGUUUUUCUGCUGUUAAACUCUUUUGUAGCUGCUCUUAAAAUACUUAUACUAAACAAAUAACUUUUUUUCCAGACCCCACUGCAUUGAGCUAGUUUCCCAGGAGAGAGGAUAUGGAUUCUGACUGCCCCCAAGCCUUUCACUACAUGUUAGUGUUGGCUCAUGCGCUCCACAUUCACCUUGUCUCUUCAUGCUCCAUCAGGUCCUCAUUCAUCUGACCGGAAGAUGUUUUUAGCUGCAACCAGCAGCUUGUAUAAGUCACUUGUUUAAGCUUGCAUAAGUUUGGUUAGUCUGCCAGUCCCAAAAUU